UACAGAGGUGGCAAGCGUUGUUCGGAAUUACUGGGCGUAAAGGGCGCGUAGGUGGCCUUCUUAGUCAGACGUGAAAUCCCUGGGCUUAACUCAGGAACUGCGUCUGAUACUGGAAGGCUCGAGUUCGGGAGAGGAAUGUGGAAUUCCAGGUGUAGCGGUGAAAUGCGUAGAUAUCUGGAGGAACACCAAUGGCGAAAGCAGCUCUCUGGGACGGUACUGACGCUGAGACGCGAAAGCGUGGGGAGCGAACAGG
rnacentral:rRNA from 1 species